CUUUGGGGUGACGGGUGGCGCAAUGGGAUCAGGUGCCUCCAAGGGCAUCCCAUCUGAUCCCACAACCUCACCCAUCACCCCAAAG
rfam:Chlorocebus sabaeus isolate 1994-021 chromosome 8, whole genome shotgun sequence.